GACGAACGCUGGCGGCGUGCCUAAUACAUGCAAGUAGGACGCAGUUGCGAACGGGUGAGUAACGCGUAGGUAACUACCUAUUAGAGGGGGAUAACUAUUGGAAACGAUAGCUAAUACCGCAUACUAGUAGAUGGACCUGCGUUGUAUUAGCUAGUAGGUAGGGUAAUGGCCUACCUAGGCAACGAUACAUAGCCGGCCUGGAGGGGUGGUCGGCCACAAUGGGACUGGAGCACGGGCCCAGCUCCUACGGGAGGCAGCAAUAGGGAAUCUUCGGAAAUGGGGGGAACCCUGGACGAGCAACGCCGCGUUAGUGGAGAAGGUUUUCGGAUCGUAAAGCUCUGUUGUUAAGGAAGCGGUACUUAACCAGAAAGGAACGGCUAACUACGUGCCAGCAGCCGCGGUAAUAC
rnacentral:rRNA from 1 species